CACUCAAAAUAAUAAACCUGAAGACUCUCUGUCAGUCGACAAAUUGGAUCAAAGAGACAAUCAAGAGAGGGGUGAACCAGCUGAACGACUGGUUCAUAUCCCAUUAAGAGAAGAAGAUCUCGAGAAAAUGGUCCAAAUUGGAUCGUAACUGUCCGACUCAGCGGCAAUAAUUAAUAAAAAUACUCAAAGCCAAUGCUGA
rnacentral:lncRNA from 1 species